rfam:Kitasatospora setae KM-6054 DNA, complete genome.
UCGGUCCCGGUUCACGAGCGGCUGUCCAGCCCGCCGACCCGGUGCC